AUUGAACGCUGGCGGCAGGCCUAACACAUGCAAGUCGAGCGCGAAAGGCUUUCGGGCUGAGUAGAGCGGCGGACGGGUGAGUAACGCGUAGGAAUCUACCUGGUAGUGGGGGACAACUUGGGGAAACUCAAGCUAAUACCGCAUACGCCCUAUGGGGGAAAGUGGGGGACCUUCGGGCCUCACGCUAUCAGAUGAGCCUGCGUAGGAUUAGCUAGUUGGUGAGGUAAAGGCUCACCAAGGCGACGAUCCUUAGCUGGUCUGAGAGGAUGAUCAGCCACACUGGGACUGAGACACGGCCCAGACUCCUACGGGAGGCAGCAGUGGGGAAUAUUGCGCAAUGGGGGCAACCCUGACGCAGCCAUGCCGCGUGUGUGAAGAAGGCCUCGGUUGUAAG
rnacentral:rRNA from 1 species